rnacentral:lncRNA from 1 species
UGUGGAUCAGUGGAAAUGAAUCUGACUAGCAUCGACGAGGAUGUAGGUUUGUUCCCUGGCCUUGAUCAGUGAGUUAAGGAUCUGGCAUUGCUGUGAGCUGUAGUGUAGGUCCCAGACAUGGCCUGGAUCCUGCAUUGCUAUGUCUGUGGUGUAGGCCAGCAGCUGUAGCUCUGAUUCAACCCCUAGCCUGGGAACCUCCGUAUGCCAUGGGUGUGACCCUAAAAAGACCAAAAAAAAAAAAUCAGUGUCUCAAAUAUUUAGAUCAAAGGCAUUUAUGUUGUCUCCCAUUUACACUUGGUAGCUGACCAAUCACAAUUUGCUGGUCUGAGGUGAGAGACCAGUAAAAGGUGAAAAAGUGGCUCAUUUUAUCUGGAUCUAAAUCUAAAUCUAAAUCUGUUUAAUAAUAGAGGUUAAAGCAAGAAGGGGCUAGAUGCAUAUGAGUUGGUGGUUCCUUCAGGCAUCUGGUGAUGAAGAAAUGGGAGAGAGGAUAAAAGCUAGAGGGAAGAUGAAGUCCAAGAAAACUGCUGACUUGACAUGUAGCAACCAGAUGGGAACAGAUGGUUCCACCAGUCUAUUCCUUUCAGCCAAUUUACAUGAUUAAAAGGGUCCACUGGGAAGAUGCCAAAGCUGGGAUAUGAUAAGUGAGCUUCCAGGAAACUUGGAAGUGGGGAGAAGAGAUUUCUGCUCCAUCUCCUGGAGGAAAUAGAAUUGGAGCAACACUUCUGGCUCCCCCUCCAUGGCCCUCACCUACUGCCUGCCCCCUCUUCACUUCCAACAAGUGCAAUUACUCAUCUCCUCUCCUCUGCCCAUCUCCUGUUUUGUUUUUCUCUGCACGGAUCACACUUUCCAACAAACCACAGCUACACCUGGUACUCUUGAAAGGCUGUGGUCAACAGAGUGUACUUCUUGGAGAUGGCUUAGCAAGUCCUGGAAUGAUCAGAAGGAACCACUUCAUCACCUUAAGAAUGUGGUCACAUCUUUUAAUUUGCAAUUAACUGGCUGAGUCCUCAUUAGCAGGAAGACUACUCCCUUGAGAUCCAAGAACUCCAGGGACAUAGUCCAAAGUGCACACUCCUGUUUCCAGAUAUAUGGCUCAGAGAGAACUUGAGUGUACCAUCUGUUCAUUUAUGGAUGCAUGUUGUUUCAGCUCCCUCCAUGGGUGCUUUUGUUAAACUGCCCCAAUAUGGACUAAUAGGGCUAUAGCCAUGCCCUUAUAGACCUGGGUAUGAGUAGUGGUCAGUGAUUUUAAGGCCACACAUGAGUAUCAAGGGUCUAGCCACAAAGAUCCAGGAUGUGAAAAAUGGUAUACUAGAGGAAGUGAGGUCAUCAUGGUGGUGCUAUUGGAGGAGGGAUUUGUAGAAAGACCUCCAGUUCAUUCAGGGUGCAUUCUGUCCUUGGAGGCUAUGAUCUCUUUUCAUUCUAGAAUAUCUCAGUUGAGGCCAUCCCAGUCUUCCUGAUUUUCUGUGUUUGUCUGUUCAGGCUAUUACAACAGAAUAUUAUGACUUGGGUCCUUAAACAGCAGAUGCAGUUUAUUUUGUGCAGUUCUGGAG